rnacentral:rRNA from 1 species
AACGUAGGAGACAAACGUUAUCCGGAGUUACUGGGCGUAAAGGGCGUGUAGGUGGUUUCGUAAGUCUGGCGUGAAAUUUUUCGGCUUAACCGGGAAAGGUCGUCGGAUACUGCGGAGCUAGAGGACGGUAGAGGCGUGUGGAAUUCCGGGUGUAGUGGUGAAAUGCGUAGAGAUGUGGAGGAACACCGAUGGCGAAGGCAGCCCCCUGGGUCAAGAUUGACGCUCAUGCACGAAAGCGUGGGGAGCAAACAGG